UUCAUUGAUCUUCCCACAUCAUCUAACCUUUCUAUAUCAUGAAACUUUGGCUCACUUUUUGGUGCCUGCCUAACCCUCCAAAUCAUUACAGGACAGGACUGCUUUUGGCCAUGCACUACACAUCAGACACCUCAACUGCCUUCUCUUCAGUCACUCAUAUCAGCCGACAUGUAAACUUCGGCUGAAUUGUUCGCUAUUUUCAUGCUAAUGGCAGUUCAAUAUUUUUUAUCUGCGUCUUCUUACACAUUGGCUGAGGUUUAUACUAUAGAUCAUUUACAUUCCUAGAAACCUGAAAUAUUGGCAUCAUCCUCCUACUCAAAACAAUGGCAACAGCAUUCAUAGGCUACAUGCUCCCAUGAGGCCAGAUAUCAUUCUGAGGCGCUACAGUAAUUACAAAUCUACUAUCAGCCAUCCGAUAUAUUGGAACUGACCUUGUGCAAUAAAUCUGAGGUGGGUUCUCAGUCGACAAAGCCACCCUUACAUGAUUCUUCACUUUCCAUUUCAUCUUACCUUCAUCAUUACAGCCCUAGCAGCUGUUCACCUUUAAUUCCUACAUGAAACAGGAUCUAAUAACCCUUCAGGGUUUUCAUCAGACCCUGACAACAUUACCUUCCACCCCUACCAUACUACCAAAGACAUUUUAGGUUUAAUUUUUCUCCUCCUCCUCCUAAUAAUUCUAGUACUAUUUUCGCCUGACCUCCUGGGCGACCCAGAUAACUAUGCAUUAGCCAACCCCCUCAACACCCCAUCCCACAUUAAGCCAGAGUGGUACAUUUUGUUUGCCUAUGC
rnacentral:lncRNA from 1 species